ACAGGAUGUCUCGUGACAGGACUUUUCUAAGAUUCCUGUCCGUGCCACCUUGCGC
rnacentral:pre_miRNA from 1 species